rnacentral:rRNA from 1 species
GAAUCCCGUCUUUGGCACGGAUGUACCGGGGCUUUUGUGAUGCGCUCUCGAAGAGUCGAGUUGUUUGGGAAUGCAGCUCAAAAUGGGUGGUGAACUCCAUCUAAAGCUAAAUAUUGGCGAGAGACCGAUAGCGAACAAGUACCGUGAGGGAAAGAUGAAAAGCACUUUGGAAAGAGAGUGAAACAGUACGUGAAAUUGUUGAAAGGGAAACGCUUGAAGUCAGUCGCGUCGACCGAGACUCAGCCUCGCCUCGGCUUGGUGUACUUCUCGGCUGACGGGUCAGCAUCAAUUUUGCCCCUUGGAUAAUGGCGAGGGAAAUGUGACACCUUUGCGGUGUGUUAUAGUCUCUCGUCGCAUGCAAGGGUCGGGAUUGAGGAACUCAGCACGCGCCUUUGGGCGUCGGGGCUUUGCCCACGAUACGUGCUUAGGAUGCUGGCGUAAUGGCUUUAAACGACCCGUCUUGAAACACGGACCAAGGAGUCUAACAUGCCUGCGAGUGUUCGGGUGGAAAACCCGUGCGCGCAAUGAAAGUGAAAGUUGGGACCUCUGUCGUGGAGGGCACCGACGCCCGGACCAGACCUUCUGUGACGGUUCUGCGGUAGAGCAUGUAUGUUAGGACCCGAAAGAUGGUGAACCAUGCCUGAAUAGGGUGAAGCCAGAGGAAACUCUGGUGGAGGCUCGUAGCGAUUCUGACGUGCAAAUCGAUCGUCAAAUUUGGGUAUAGGGGCGAAAGACUAAUCGAACCAUCUAGUAGCUGGUUCCUGCC